UAUAUAUAUAUAUAUAUAUAUAUAUGUACAGAACUAUUUAUGCAACUAACUGCUGUUAAAAGUUAGGAUAGUGAAGUGAUCAAAUAGUGUUGAGUCACCUUUUGGUUUUUCAUGGGAAUUGAAUACACUGCAUGCACAGAACAGCUCAAGUUUUGAAAUACAUAGUUCAGUGCCUUCACACCAAACCAGUGAUUGUGUUUAGAAUGUAUUGUUUUAACAUCUAAUUGUAAAUUGUAGUUGUUGAUCUUUGGUCUCCCACACAGUAAAUUGAUGAGAUCCACUGAAGUCAUUUGUAUAUUGAUCAAGGCAAGUAUCCACUAGAGUAUGUACAUAGUUCAGUGACAAUAUCCACUAGAGUAUGUUGUUUCUGAUGUUACUUCCUUUCUAUCCCAUAAUUCUCUUGGUGAACACAUAAUGUAGUGAUGCUAUAUUUUGUACAAACUAUUAAACUAUCUCCAUACAAUCAU